UACAGAGGUCUCAAGCGUUGUUCGGAUUCAUUGGGCGUAAAGGGUGUGUAGGUGGCGCGCUAAGUCGGGUGUGAAAUUUCGGAGCUUAACUCCGAAACUGCAUUCGAUACUGGCGUGCUUGAGGACUGGAGAGGAGACUGGAAUUCAUGGUGUAGCAGUGAAAUGCGUAGAUAUCAGGAGGAACACCGGUGGCGAAGGCGGGACUCUGGGCCGAUACUGACGCUGGGGAGCGAAAGCGUGGGGAGCGAACAGG
rnacentral:rRNA from 1 species